rnacentral:rRNA from 1 species
UACAGAGACUGCAAGCGUUAUUCGGAUUCACUGGGCGUAGAGGGUGCGCAGGCGGUUGGGUGUGUCAGAUGUGAAAUCCCGAGGCUCAACCUCGGAACUGCGUCUGAAACUACUCGACUAGAGUAUUGGAGAGGGUAACGGAAUUCCACGUGUAGCAGUGAAAUGCGUAGAGAUGUGGAGGAACACCAGUGGCGAAGGCGGCUCACUGGCCCGGAACUGACGCUGAGACGCGAAAGCGUGGGGAGCAAACAGG